rnacentral:rRNA from 1 species
UGGGGAAUAUUGGACAAUGGGCGAAAGCCUGAUCCAGCCAUGCCGCGUGUGUGAAGAAGGUCUUCGGAUUGUAAAGCACUUUAAGUUGGGAGGAAGGGCAUUAACCUAAUACGUUAGUGUUUUGACGUCACCGACAGAAUAAGCACCGGCUAACUCUGUGCCAGCAGCCGCGGUAAUACAGAGGGUGCAAGCGUUAAUCGGAAUUACUGGGCGUAAAGCGCGCGUAGGUGGUUUGUUAAGUUGGAUGUGAAAUCCCCGGGCUCAACCUGGGAACUGCAUUCAAAACUGACUGACUAGAGUAUGGUAGAGGGUGGUGGAAUUUCCUGUGUAGCGGUGAAAUGCGUAGAUAUAGGAAGGAACACCAGUGGCGAAGGCGACCACCUGGACUAAUACUGACACUGAGGUGCGAAAGCGUGGGGAGCAAACA